GUUGAUAAGGUUAAGUGAAUAAGGGCGCACGGUGGAUGCCUUGGCACUAGGAGCCGAUGAAGGACGGGACUAACACCGAUAUGCUUUGGGGAGCUGUAAGUAAGCUAUGAUCCAGAGAUUUCCGAAUGGGGGAACCCAAUAUCUUUUAUAGGAUAUUACUUUUCAGUGAAUACAUAGCUGAUUAGAGGUAGACGCAGAGAACUGAAACAUCUUAGUACCUGCAGGAAGAGAAAGAAAAUUCGAUUCCCUGAGUAGCGGCGAGCGAAACGGGAAGAGCCCAAACCAACAAGCUUGCUUGUUGGGGUUGUAGGACUCCGAUAUGGUAGUCUGUUAGUAUAGUUGAAGGAUUUGGAAAAUUCCGCUAAAGAGGGUGAAAGCCCCGUAGACGAAAUGCUGACAACACCUAGGAGGAUCCUGAGUACGGCGGAACACGAGAAAUUCCGUCGGAAUCCGCGGGGACCAUCCCGCAAGGCUAAAUACUCCCUAGUGACCGAUAGUGAACCAGUACCGUGAGGGAAAGGUGAAAAGCACCCCGGAAGGGGAGUGAAAUAGAUCCUGAAACCGUGUGCCUACAACAAGUCAAAGCUCGUUAAUGAGUGAUGGCGUGCCUUUUGUAGAAUGAACCGGCGAGUUACGAUUGCAUGCGAGGUUAAGUCGAAGAGACGGAGCCGCAGCGAAAGCGAGUCUGAAUAGGGCGAAUGAGUAUGUAGUCGUAGACCCGAAACCAUGUGAUCUACCCAUGUCCAGGUUGAAGGUGCGGUAAAACGCACUGGAGGACCGAACCCACGUACGUUGAAAAGUGCGGGGAUGAGGUGUGGGUAGCGGAGAAAUUCCAAACGAACUUGGAGAUAGCUGGUUCUCUCCGAAAUAGCUUUAGGGCUAGCCUCGGAAUUGAGAAUGAUGGAGGUAGAGCACUGUUUGGACUAGGGGCCCAUCUCGGGUUACCGAAUUCAGAUAAACUCCGAAUGCCAUUCAUUUAUAUCCGGGAGUCAGACUGCGAGUGAUAAGAUCCGUAGUCGAAAGGGAAACAGCCCAGACCACCAGCUAAGGUCCCAAAAUAUAUGUUAAGUGGAAAAGGAUGUGGGGUUGCACAGACAACUAGGAUGUUGGCUUAGAAGCAGCCACCAUUUAAAGAGUGCGUAAUAGCUCACUAGUCGAGUGACCCUGCGCCGAAAAUGUACCGGGGCUAAACAUAUUACCGAAGCUGUGGACUACACCAUUAGGUGUAGUGGUAGGAGAGCGUUCUAAGGGCGUUGAAGGUCGAUCGUGAGGACGGCUGGAGCGCUUAGAAGUGAGAAUGCCGGUAUGAGUAGCGAAAGACAGGUGAGAAUCCUGUCCACCGUAUGACUAAGGUUUCCUGGGGAAGGCUCGUCCGCCCAGGGUUAGUCGGGACCUAAGCCGAGGCCGAUAGGCGUAGGCGAUGGACAACAGGUUGAUAUUCCUGUACCAGUUGUUUUUGUUUGAGCAAUGGAGGGACGCAGUAGGCUAAGGAAUGCAUGCGAUUGGAAGUGCAUGUCCAAGCAAUGAGUCUUGAG
rnacentral:rRNA from 1 species